GAUGAACGCUGGCGGCGUGCCUAAUACAUGCAAGUCGAGCGAAUGGAUUAAGAGCUUGCUCUUAUGAAGUUAGCGGCGGACGGGUGAGUAACACGUGGGUAACCUGCCCAUAAGACUGGGAUAACUCCGGGAAACCGGGGCUAAUACCGGAUAACAUUUUGAACCGCAUGGUUCGAAAUUGAAAGGCGGCUUCGGCUGUCACUUAUGGAUGGACCCGCGUCGCAUUAGCUAGUUGGUGAGGUAACGGCUCACCAAGGCAACGAUGCGUAGCCGACCUGAGAGGGUGAUCGGCCAGACUGGGACUGAGACACGGCCCAGACUCCUGCGGGAGGCAGCAGUAGGGAAUCUUCCGCAAUGGACGAAAGUCUGACGGAGCAACGCCGCGUGAGUGAUGAAGGCUUUCGGGUCUUAAAACUCUGUUGUUGGGGAAGAACAAGUGCUAGUUGAAUAAGCUGGCACCUUGACGGUACCUAACCAGAAAGCCACGGCUAACUACGUGCCAGCCGCCGCAGUAA
rnacentral:rRNA from 1 species